GGGCCAGCUCGGGAAAUGGCAAGGGCAGAGGGCUGUGGGAAGGUGGACUCCUGCAGCAGGUGGGGCUGACUGGGCAGGGCUCAGAGCAGAGGUGACCUCAUGCCCUGGAGGAUGGAGGAGGUGAUGCCCAUCACGGGGUAUGCCGGGAACCCAGGGCACAGGCGGGGCCUCGCCUCCGCACUGGAUGCCGGAGCUGGCCUGGGAGCAAGAGAUGAAGCAGCCCAGCCCUGCCAGAGAGACUCGAAGGGGAGGGUGGGAGAUCCUUACCAGGUGGAGGGAGAGACCAGGCGCGAGGAUACAUGGCAGCAGAAGAUGCCCAUCACUGAGAGAGUCAUCUCGCAGGAGUGACCCAGCUGGCGAGCCUGUGAAUGGGAUUUGAACCCACCGUGUGUGCCUCCAAAGCCCUUGCUGCCCUGAAGCCUACACUCCUGCCUCGCGCCUCGACUCAGCCUGAGAGGACCCAGCUCUGCCCUCGAGGAGCUCCCACCACCGGCAGUGCCGAACGCUGCGAGUCGAGAAGCGGGCCCCAGAGGAGCCUGGCCUGUUGGGCCCCAAGCCUGGGCCCCCCUGGACGGCGUGGCAAGCCUGGAAGAAGAGGCGAUCCUGGUCCUCCUGUAAGUGUCCUGGAUUAUGCUCUCUGCUCCUGAAAGAUAAGACCUUUUGUUCUCUCUCUGUUGCACUUCCAUGAAAAUAAUGUUUGGUUGAAGAGGUGUGUCCUGUAAAAAAGAAAUCCCUGUCCCGGACAGGGACCAUACUUUUUUCAAUUUGUAGAUGAAUGCAAGCACAGAACUCCAUGGCUUGACUUGCCCUGGGAAGCAUUUUAUGACCAUUUGCCUUCCGAGAGAGCUGCCACGAGCCUGGCCGCUCCUCACCAAAUCUCUGGCCCAGAACUGCAAGCAGCGUGCCCGGAUUUCCCAAGUGCCCUGCAACAAGGGAUCUGUUCAGAUGCUUUUGUCUCAUGUGCUUGGGCAGAAAGGGCAGUUACGCCAGGAAUAAGUUGGGCUUGAUCACUAGAUCCCGGGGUCCGUUGUCCUCCUUUGCCAAAAUAUGUGUCCCUCUCUGGGUUGGGCAGCUGAGACCUCCCCAGCACAGCUGGCCAGUGAGGACACUGAGUUUGAGAAGGGGGAAGGGCGGGGCUGGCAGCCCCAGGCAGCACUGAACGCAGGGGAUCAUCAGUGGGCCCGGAAAUCCCUUUCCUUCUCCAAGACAUGUGACGAGUCUGCCUUUGAUUCGUCUUGGCAGUUUUUCAGAGCCCGAUGAGUCCAGACAAAUCCAUUCAAGAAGCACAUUGACAGUCGGCUUGAGCCAAAAGCAACCUUCUAAAGGAAUUCCUUUCGGAUGAGCAGUUUCGUUUUUGACUUCCACAGUGAUUCAUUUCCCGAUGGGCACCCUUUGGAAUCUGGGCUUCCCCCUACAUGUAGGGCCACAUCGAGCCGAAAAGCGAGCCAGCAAGAAUUGGUAGAUUUUUUGGCCACAAGCAAUUUUCCACUGUUGAGUCAUUCCUGGCUGUCACAGGGAGGCGAUCCUGUGUGAGCUCGCUGAAGUGCAUAAUGCAGAGGGCUAUGCAGAGAUUUUUUUUUUUUGAACUUGGCUGUUAAACUAUUAAGUGUAUUAAACAAAUGCAGAAUUUACAACCUGUAACCUGAG
rnacentral:lncRNA from 1 species